rnacentral:pre_miRNA from 1 species
UGGUACUUGGAGAGUGGUUAUCCCUGUCCUGUUCGUUUUGCUCAUGUCGAAUCGUACAGGGUCAUCCACUUUUUCAGUAUCAA